rnacentral:tRNA from 1 species
AAGUUAUGUAUUAAGUGUUUUGAACACACUGUUCACUUAUAAAUUAAGUAUAACUUU